GGAGCAAUCUGAUGAUGACGAGUGGCGCACGGGUGCGUAACGCGUAUGCAACCUACCCAUAACCGGAACAUAACGUUGAGAAAUCGGCGCUAAUAUUCCAUGUGUAUAUUUUGUGGCAUCAUAGGAUAUAUAAAGAUUAAUUGGUUAUGGAUGGGCAUGCGUAUCAUUAGCUAGUUGGUAGGGUAACGGCCUACCAAGGCUGCGAUGAUUAGGGGUUCUGAGAGGAUAACCCCCCACACUGGAACUGAGACACGGUCCAAACUCCUACGGGAGGCAGCAGUAGGGAAUAUUGGGCAAUGGAGGCAACUCUGACCCAGCCAUGCCGCGUGAAGGAAGACGGACCUAUGGAUUGUAAACUUCUUUUAUCAUAGAGUAACCGCAGGGACGUGUCCCUGCCUGCAAGUAUAUGAUGAAUAAGCAUCGGCUAACUCCGUGCCAGCAGCCGCGGUAAUACGGAGGAUGCAAGCGUUAUCCGGAUUUAUUGGGUUUAAAGGGUGCGCAGGCUGACCGGUAAGUCAGGCGUGAAACUUUACAGCUUAACUGUAAACGUGCCUUUGGUACUGCCGGACUAGAGUUUAAGAGACGUAAUUGGAAUGUGAUGUGUAGCGGUGAAAUGCUUAGAUAUAUCACAGAACGCCGAUCGUGAAGACAGAUUACGAACUUAAUACUGACGCUCAUGCACGAUAGCGUGAGGAUCAAACAGGAUUAGAUACCCUGGUACUCCACGCUGUAAACGAUGAUCACUCGUUGUUGGAUGGUAACAUUCAGUGGCCAAGGGAAAACGAUAAGUGAUCCACCUGGGGAGUACGAUCG
rnacentral:rRNA from 1 species